GUGCCAAUCACCACACAUGAGCCAUGUGCUGAUAGUAAAUUUGUAAGUUGUCAGGACCACAUGGUUUGCUCAUCACCUGUAAGCCAAUACUGUCCAGUCAGCUGUGGUACUUGCGGUUCUAAAUCCACUAUGCAAGUAACAACAGCAAAUCCUUCAACAGCAACUGGAUGGUUGUCUAUUACAAGGUAGCAUAGACCUACAGUCAUGCCUAAAUAAUGCAGACUCAAAACAAAAUAAAAAUACCGCAAACACU